CUGAACCCCACGUUCUCCCACCUCUCCAUCGCUCUCUCCCUGAUCUCCCUCGCUGCCAUCCCCGCCCUCGAAUCACCAUCUACCUCUAUCCACCCCGCGCGUCGGUGCCGCCGCGACCCUCGCACCUCCCCACGCGCCACCACCGCUCUACCUCUCCCCCACCCGAGUCCGGCUUCCUACCGCCGACACACGGAUCUAGCUGCCGCACAGGAUCCCGCCACCGCGUUCGUCGCUUGCUGGGACCGACGACGCGUCGGAAGCCAACCCGUCUGUGAUCUCCGGUCAACGAGGCACGACGGCCACCCCUCCCCCUGUUUCCACGGCCUCGACCCGGUUGCCCAUCGCCGACGCUCCUCCUCCCCAACCCCUUCUUCCCUGAUCCACCCCGCCUGCACCUUCGGUGAUGCGGUCCACCAGCCUCCUUCCCCGGUGCGAGCCACCAGCCCGACCCUCGCCGGCGUGAUGCCCCUGCGCGCCGCCGUGGCACAGGCCCCCACAAGAGAUCCAGCCGCGACGUACUGCUCAAAAGCGAAGGACAGCGAUGAGAUUCUCUCCUUCGGCGCCGGCGUCGUCGCUCUCGGCUACCUACUGUGUCAAGGACAUUCAUAGGCCACGAAUCCAGCGGGUGCUAGCACGUCGGAAGUGGUGCUGCCACGGUGAGUUACUCCAUCAGAGCGAGGACAACGACACUUCUUGCAGCAAAAAACUGCAGUGUUCUUCAUUAUAUUUCCAUAAAUAUUUGAGGCAAUUCUUUUGUAUCAGUUCAACAAAAAUAUUGGAUGCAGUUCCGCCGAUACAUGCGUGGAAGGAAAACUUCGUAUGAGCAGAAGUCACACCACCCCUACAGCGAGUCUCCGGCUUCUCAGGGAGUCGAUGAGGUCACCUGGGCUCCUGCAAGAAGGAUGACAGGGUCAGCAAGAACGUAGAUAUCAUCAAGAUGGCCAGGAUUGGAGCGGCUUGAUCUGGCUCACUCCAGCGGAUCCUCUCCUCUGUCGCUCUUGCUGGCCAAGCCAAGCUGGACAUGGAUGUGUGGGUGUGCAUUCUCACUUUGAACUCCGUUCUGGGCGACUCGAUGUGUGUGCUCACUGUGUGGGUCGCCAUCUCUCGAUCCUGCCAAGCUACACCAGCACUUGUUGUUUCCUCUCCCUGCUGCAAUCAGUGUUGUGAGCAACGGACAAGAUGGAGGCAUGGAGUUGGCGUGUGGAUAUGGGAAGGGAGCUGUUAAUGCACUUGGCCUGCUCAACAACUAUCGUUGUGCGUGUACUUGGACGGCUGCAGAUAGUGCAACCGAACGUCCGUAUGUGUUUUUGGCAUCCCAUUUUUAUAGUUGAUGCUAAUGAACAUUCGUCCGCAUUCUUUCGUAGUGUUGCUAUUUACUGGAAACAAUCAUUGGUUUUCAGUUGGUCAUUUCUUGUACUAGAACAUCAGGUGCUUGUGCUAAUGUCGGUGAGACAAAAUUAUGAAACAAUAUGCAGAGUAGUACUAAAUCAUGAUAACAAGAUAAUUUAAAAUAAAAAUUGUUCAUUGGAUUCUAAUUUAAG
rnacentral:lncRNA from 1 species